CCUACGGGAGGCUGCAGUGGGGAAUCUUGGGCAAUGGGCGAAAGCCUGACCCAGCGACGCCGCGUUGGGGAUGAAGCCCUUCGGGGUGUAAACCCAUGUUGUAGGGGACGAAGAAAGUGACGGUACCCUACGAGGAAGCCCCGGCUAACUACGUGCCAGCAGCCGCGGUAAGACGUAGGGGGCAAGCGUUGUCCGGAAUUACUGGGCGUAAAGGGCACGCAGGCGGUGCGCCAAGUCGAGGGUGUAAAGUUACGGCUCAACCGUGACAUUGCAAUCGAUACUGGCGCGCUGGAGUGCGGGAGAGGGAAGUGGAAUUCCCGGUGUAGCGGUGAAAUGCGUAGAUAUCGGGAGGAACGCCAGUGGCGAAGGCGGCUUCCUGGCCCGCGACUGACGCUCAUGUGCGAAAGCCAGGGGAGCGAACCGGCUUAGAUACCCCGGUAGUC
rnacentral:rRNA from 1 species